UACCAGCUCUCCGAGUGGUGUGGAUGUUUAUUGGGCCUAAAGCAUCCGUAGCUGGCUAGGUCAGUCCCUUGUUAAAUCCACCGAAUUAAUCGUUGGAUUGCGGGGGAUACUGCUUGGCUAGGGGACGAGAGAGGCAGACGGUAUUUUCGGGGUAGGGGUGAAAUCCUAUAAUCCCGGGAAGACCACCAGUGGCGAAGGCUGUCUGCUAGAACGCGCCCGACGGUGAGGGAUGAAAGCUGGGGGAGCGAACCGG
rnacentral:rRNA from 1 species